rnacentral:rRNA from 1 species
CUGCGGUAAUACGUAGGGGGCGAGCGUUAUCCGGAAUUACUGGGUGUAAAGGGUAUGUAGGCGGCCCUUCAAGUCGCGUGUCAAAGUCCAGUGCUCAAAGCUGGGUGUGCGCGCGAUACUGACGGGCUUGAGGGCUGGAGAGGUGAGCGGAAUUCCCGGUGUAGUGGUAAAAUACGUAGAGAUCGGGAGGAACACCAGCGGCGCAGGCGGCUCACUAGACAGUUUCUGACGCUAAGAUACGAAAGCGUGGGGAGCAAACA